GGGAGUGGCAGACGGGUGAGUAACGCGUGGGAAUCUACCUAGUUCUACGGAACAACACAGGGAAACUUGUGCUAAUACCGUAUACGCCCUACGGGGGAAAGAUUUAUCGGAAUUAGAUGAGCCCGCGUAAGAUUAGCUAGUUGGUGGGGUAAUGGCCUACCAAGGCGACGAUCUUUAGCUGGUCUGAGAGGAUGAUCAGCCACACUGGGACUGAGACACGGCCCAGACUCCUACGGGAGGCAGCAGUGGGGAAUAUUGGACAAUGGGCGCAAGCCUGAUCCAGCCAUGCCGCGUGAGUGAUGAAGGCCUUAGGGUUGUAAAGCUCUUUCAGUGGGGACGAUAAUGACGGUACCCACAGAAGAAGCCCCGGCUAACUUCGUGCCAGCAGCCGCGGUAAUACGAAGGGGGCUAGCGUUGUUCGGAUUUACUGGGCGUAAAGCGCACGUAGGCGGAUCGUUAAGUCGGGGGUGAAAUCCUGGAGCUCAACUCCAGAACUGCCUUCGAUACUGGCGAUCUUGAGUCCGGAAGAGGUGAGUGGAACUCCUAGUGUAGAGGUGGAAUUCGUAGAUAUUAGGAAGAACACCAGUGGCGAAGGCGGCUCACUGGUCCGGU
rnacentral:rRNA from 1 species